GACGAACGCUGGCGGCGUGCUUAACACAUGCAAGUCGAACGGAAAGGCCCUGCUUUUGUGGGGUGCUCGAGUGGCGAACGGGUGAGUAACACGUGAGUAACCUGCCCUUGACUUUGGGAUAACUUCAGGAAACUGGGGCUAAUACCGGAUAGGAGCUCCUGCUGCAUGGUGGGGGUUGGAAAGUUUCGGCGGUUGGGGAUGGACUCGCGGCUUAUCAGCUUGUUGGUGGGGUAGUGGCUUACCAAGGCUUUGACGGGUAGCCGGCCUGAGAGGGUGACCGGCCACAUUGGGACUGAGAUACGGACCAGACGCCUACGGGAGGCAGCAGUGGGGAAUAUUGCACAAUGGGCGGAAGCCUGAUGCAGCAACGCCGCGUGCGGGAUGACGGCCUUCGGGUGGUAAACCGCUUUCGCCUGUGACGAAGCGUGAGUGACGGUAAUGGGUAAAGAAGCACCGGCUAACUACGUG
rnacentral:rRNA from 1 species